rnacentral:lncRNA from 1 species
GUCAUUUCAGUCUUGUUUGACAAUUCAUGACCCCACUUGGGGUUUUCUUGGCAAAGAUACUGGAGUGGUUUGCCAUUUCCUUGUCCAGCUCAUUUUACAGAUGAGGAAGUGAAGGCAAAUAGAGUUAAGUGACUUGUCCAGGGUCACACAUCUAAGAAGUAUUUGAAGCCAGAUUUGAACUCAUGAAGAUGAGUCUUCCUGAUUCCAAGCCCAGUGAUCUAUCCACUGCACCAUUUAGCUGCCCGUCUUAAUAAAUAACAUUUAUAUGGUGCAUUAAGAUUUUUUCAAUAUGUUGCACAUUGUAUAGAUUAUCUCAUUUGAACCCUAUUCUUUGUCCUGUCUUCUAAAAUCCUUUCUAGGUCUGAUACUGUUCCAUCUGUCCCAGCUAUGAAUAGGGUGGCAAUCUUGUGGGCAUGGGAAUUAAGAUGCAGCUUUUCCUCUCCAGCUUCUAUUCCAAGGAUGAGGAGGAACAUGUCGUUUGGCUUUAAUUGGGUUCAAAGGAAAAUUCUUGGCAGGGCCAAGCCACAUCAGACUGCCCCAGAAACCUCCCCAUCCGGAAGCUCACUCAGUUCCUGGACUCUACACUUGGAAGUACCCUCUGCUCCUGCAGCCUCUCCUUCUGUUUGGCUGGUCCCUGCUGGAACCUCCAUUUAAGUAGGGUGCCCUGUCAGCCUCAUUUGUCUGGGCUGAUUGCCUAACCACCUUUCUCUACAAUGCCCCAGGAACUGGGAACCUUCAUCUCGGCUGCCUCUUCUUCCUCAGCUCUACCUUGCCAGCUUCCUUUUAGAAUGCUUGCAUCCUGAGGCAGAGGCAGGGGCUACUUUUCUUUCUAAUCAUAUUUGUAUGCCAGCAUAUUGUCUGGCACUUAGUAAGUAAAUGCUUUCUGAAUUCGCU